rnacentral:tRNA from 1 species
UCGGGAUAGCUCAGCUGGUAGAGCAGAGACUGAAUCCUCGUUCACAGUCAAAU